rnacentral:rRNA from 1 species
UGACCUCGGAUCAGGUAGGAGGACCCGCUG